AUAUUGCACAAUGGAGGGAACUCUGAUGCAGCAACGCCGCGUGAGUGAAGAAGGUUUUCGGAUCGUAAAACUCUGUCAUUUGGGAAGAAUAAAUGACGGUACCCAAUGAGGAAGCCUCGGCUAACUACGUACCAGUAGCCUCGGUAAUACGUAGGGGGCGAGCGUUGUCCGGAAUUACUGGGCGUAAAGGGUACGUAGGCGGCUAUAUAAGUCAGGUGUGAAAUACCAGUGCUUAACACUGGAAUUGCAUUUGAAACUGUGUAGCUUGAGUGCAGGAGAGGAAAGUGGAAUUCCUAGUGUAGCGGUGAAAUGCGUAGAGAUUAGGAGGAACACCAGUGGCGAAGGCGACUCUCUGGACUGCAACUGACGCUGAGGCACGAAAGCGUGGGGAGCGAACA
rnacentral:rRNA from 1 species